CUCCCACCCGUGUUUACUGUACCUUANUUGCUUCGGCGGGCCCGCCAUUCAUGGCCGCCGGGGGCUCUCAGCCCCGGGCCCGCGCCCGCCGGAGACACCACGAACUCUGUCUGAUCUAGUGAAGUCUGAGUUGAUUGUAUCGCAAUCAGUUAAAACUUUCAACAAUGGAUCUCUUGGUUCCGGCAUCGAUGAAGAACGCAGCGAAAUGCGAUAACUAGUGUGAAUUGCAGAAUUCCGUGAAUCAUCGAGUCUUUGAACGCACAUUGCGCCCCCUGGUAUUCCGGGGGGCAUGCCUGUCCGAGCGUCAUUGCUGCCCAUCAAGCACGGCUUGUGUGUUGGGUCGUCGUCCCCUCUCCGGGGGGGACGGGCCCCAAAGGCAGCGGCGGCACCGCGUCCGAUCCUCGAGCGUAUGGGGCUUUGUCACCCGCUCUGUAGGCCCGGCCGGCGCUUGCCGAACGCAAAUCAAUCUUUUUCCAGGUUGACCUCGGAUCAGGUAGGGAUACCCGCUGAACUUAAGCAUAUCAAUAAGCGGAGGAAGAU
rnacentral:rRNA from 1 species